CCAGUCACCAGCCUAGUGGCUUAUCAGUGGGUCCCAGCACUCUGGAGCUUCUCCUGAGACAUGACCCAGGGCCAGGCUCGGGGCACCCCGAGCUCCCCACCAAUGCAGCCAAUGUGAGUCCCCAUGAGGCCUGUUCUUCCUGCUGGUCCUCUGGUCUCAGUCACAUCACACAGAUAAAGGUGAUGGCUUUAGGGACCAGACGGUUUUUUCUAGUCUUUCAACAAAUACUAAGCACCUACUGCAUUCUUUGCAAAGGGCUGGUAUAAGACAUAUGGAGACGGGUCAACCAUGGAUUCUGUCCUUGAACUUUCAGCAGACAUCAAUUGGCAACAGGAGGCCACACAAGGUUAAAUACCGAAUGGUAAAGAGAGUCUGUUGUGAGCUGCUAUCUGUUAGCAAAGGAAAGUGGGACUCAUGCUAGCCAUAAAGGAAAAAUACUAUUUUUGCAAAAGAGAGGAUGUACCAAGCAGGGCAGAGUGCCCACUGAAGGCACAGGGACAGGAAAAAGCAGAGCCAUUAGGAGAGAAUUUGAAGGCAGGGUGACAGCGGCACAGAGAGGCGGCUGAUCUCAUAAUCCAGCCAGAAGGAGAUGGGCUCAAGGAUGGGCAAGGAAGAGAAACAAAUGUCUUCCCAACACCCAUUAUGUGCCAAGCAUCAUGCUUAAAACGUCACAGCUAUUUCCUUAACCCAAGCCUCACAGCCACCCUUUGAGGACACAGACUGAGGUUACUAGCCCCAUUUCACAGCUGUGGAACUGAGGCUUCGUACAACUAAAACUAUUUUCAAGUAAGACUACCGGCUAUAGGACCUGACCUCCAGCCACCCAGAGAAGUAGGCAGCCUUUACUACAUAUGCUCCCAGUGUGUUCUCACGAUUGUUAUCGUUGUUGGGUAUUUUGGAUUUUGUUUGUGUAUGUGUUGUGUGUGGGCAGGGAGGCGAUCAGCCUUCCUCUGUUUCUUAUCUUGAAGCUGUUCUAUAAAAUGACGGAUGAGAGGCCCUCUCUGGGAGGCUGUAUACUGUUCCCGAUCUUCACCCCUUCCGAUUCCCAAGGUCACCGUGUGACUUCAGUUUGUCCCAGGAGAGGAGGAGCAUAAACUCCUGCCACAAGGGCAUCCAGCUUGGCCACGUCACUUGCCUUGGCCAGUGUGCUGUAGGCAAAAGGGACAGCGAGACUCAAUUCAGCCUUGGCCUCCAGAAGGGAGGCACUGUGUUCUCCAUUUCUCCAGUGCUGAGAGAGGAACCUGCCUAGGGGAGUCCACUAGUCCCGGAAAACAGAGCCAGGUGGAGCAGACCUGAGCCCCAAACGCACCUGUGAACCAAGGCCAGACAAAGUCAGCGACAUUCUGUAAUGCCCUCUGGCUGUGAAUCACUGAUCUAGCCCACAUCCUUCAUUUUUCAAUAAAUGCACCUGAGACCCAGAUCGGAGAAAUCAUCUGUUAGAGUCUUACCACCAGUUGGAAAUUGGGUCUCCUGAUUGCUAAUCCACUGCUCUUUCAAGAUAGCACCCUAUCUCAUCAGAGGGAGUCCCUGCAGGCUGCACGAAAAUAGAGGAAAUCUGAGAUGCCAACCAAGUAAGUAAUUAAGCAGAAUAGAUGCAGUCAAAAAGCAUGAAAGCAAGAUUUAACCCGGAUAAUCCCUCCAUAAUUUAGAGUUGAUCUGUCUAAAAGAGUUCCUGUUGAUUUCCCAGGAGGACCUUUCUUCUGGAGCUGGAACCACAGGGAUCAUCAUAGCUGAAUCUAUUAACCCCGUCGUUUUUCAAGGUGUCAGUCUUUUGUACCUAAGAAAUGUGGCCCAAUUCCUUUCGUUUUGGAAUUUGUGUUUUAUUACCAGCAUCUAUGGUACUCAAAAAUAACAUUUCUUCCCCAAAUGACUUAGCAUGUUCCUCUCUGCUUCACAGAUUAUGAGCCAGCCUGAACUGGAAGAUCAUUUACUAUAAAUAUUGCUGUCGUUCAAAGACUCUUAAAAUCAUGGCAUGUUAGGGCUGCAAGAGACCUUAAGAAAUCAUCCAUCCCGACCCCGUCACUUUACAGAUUCCUCGGAGAUAAAAGGCAAGUUGCUAAAUUCAACACACAAGGCUUCUCUGUCUGCCUCCUACCUGAUCACUCCAGCCUGAGCUCUUCUGCAUACAGCCCAUCUUCCCACUCUCCCACAGGGAGGGAGAAGGGAGAAGCAGCUCCCUAAACCUAAAGUUUUCCAGAAAUAUUAGAAGAACCACUGCACAGGGGAGUCUGGC